AACCGUUGCAAUAGCCUAGAUAUUUUAACAAAAAUGAAAGCUAAUGCAACGGUAGUGUUGUAUAAUGAAAAUUUUAGCUAGGUUGAAGCGCGCAUUGUUUCCUCUAAUUUUUUCACCAAAAUUUUGAACAAACACAUUUUUACUUUUCUCACCCAUUUUCUCCACUCAUUCUCACAGUACCCAUUCUCACCCUAUUUCUCCAUUUCCUCAAUUUCCCCCAAUUCUCCAUUUUCUCAAUUUCCCCCAAUUCUCUAGUUUCCCCAUCAUCAUCUCACAUAAAUAAGCAAGGUAAAACAAAAAUUCUGAGGCCGAUUUUGAGGUGAAAAUCACGAAAAAAUUCAUUCAAAAAUUUGAUUUUUUUCGAUUUCUAGGGUUUCGAUUUGUAACUGUUGGCGGUGGUGGAGAGCAACGAUGGUGAGUUUUGAUUUGUAAUUGAUGGCGGUGGUGGAGAGUUUCUGAGCUAAUGUCGCUCAAAUUCCAGCUUCGUGCCCUGAUCUUUGAGAACAUCAUCAUCGUCCGUGGUAGUUGGUGAGAGUGAUUUGCUAAUUGUUGGACCUGGUGUUCUUGGUCGCUUGGUAGCUCAACAAUGGAGUCAGGUUAAUUUCUUUCGUUUGGGAUUCUCGCCUUUAUGUUCUUGCCAGGUUCCUUCUUUUAUCUUUAAUUUCUGAUUUGGUUUGAUUAUUGGAAAAUUGGUUGAUUUUUAACUUGCAAAUAAGUGUGCUUUUGGUUGUUUUGUUGGUUAUGGUAAUGCAAAUGUUAUGGUAUAGGUAAUGACAAUAGAUUACUAUAGUUGGUGUUAUAAUGUCUAGUAACUGGUGCUUAUUAAACUUCUGUCCUUUUUCCUGAGGCUUCUUGUAUUAUCAUCUUCUUACAUGUUGGGACAAUUGCUACUAAUGUCUCCAAUCACAAUAUUUUCUUUGAACUAGAAAUAGCUUACAUGGGCUGAUUGUUAUUUCUGUAUGGUUCUAUGAUUUUUAUUGUCUUCUUGCACUUUCUGAUAAUGGCCAUUGUGACGUGUUGCAAUUCUUAGCAGAAAUACAAGUGUAUAUAUGUUAGUUUGUACACUCAUCACUUGGCACUUGUCUCGUCUCAAAUCAGAUUUUUUUUAUC